rnacentral:misc_RNA from 1 species
UAAAAUUCAAAAUCAACAAAAUGUAAAUAAAAACAAACACAUAUGUAAUAAUAAUAAUGUACAUAUAAAAAGUUAUUUUUUUUUUGUAAUUUGUUGCUAAUUAUUAGGUUGAAGUGUACACAAACUGAAAUAAUUGAUAUAGAUAUUUAAAUUAGAUGGCUGUAAAUAGUUACUUUUAUAAAUUACGUCAGUUAAAAACAUUCAAAAACUGUCGUCUAUGGAGUACAUCAUUUGCUAAUUCGGAGUUAAACCCCGACAAUCCAGAUUUUGAGGAGAACAGUGAAGUCAAUCAACCAAGCACAGCGAGACUGACGCGACAUGUAAGAGAAAUUAAUGCGUUCUUUGAACAACACCCAGAUUUCCAACAUUUAAAAAGAUGGGUCCCAAAAAAAGUCUUAGAAACAAGACCUUACAAAAGUCCUGAGCAUAUAUAUUUAGUGUGCCCCAAGAUUGCAACAUCAGUAGCAAGACAUAUAAAACAAAGAAUCCAAGGUGUCACUUUUAUUGGAGAAAGUAAUGCUGGGUUUGGCUUGAUUACGAAAGCAUUAUUGAAUGAAGGAGUUUCCUCACCAAUAAGGAUAUAUGAAAGUUUACCAGAAUUUCAGCAAUAUCUAAAUGAAAGCUUUAAAAAUGAAGAUCGAGUAAUUUUAUACCCUAAGGAUUUUUUCUCACUUAGGAAACAUGCCUCAAUAGAUAGGUUAAAUUGUAGCUCCACAGUUUCUGAAAUGAUAGAGGGGAUAUCAAUGAGGACUUGGAGAGAUGAGCCUGCAAUAACUCUAGUUGGUACAUUAACCAAUAAUACAUUUUUAAAAUACCUUAUAAGGUGUCUAAUUUUACAAAGGGAGCCAAUUACUUAUGGAAGAAUUGAUCUUUUCUUGAUAACACCUUUAAAUCAAUGGCAAAUUUAUACAGCUACCUCGGAUAAUGUUUAUCGCCAGUACAAGGCUGUAUCAACACUGUUGCAAACAUUUUUUGAUAUGGAAUUAAUAGACAAAUAUCCUAGGAAAUAUUUCCUUCCAUGGCAAAACCAUUCAAAGAAAAGUCGAGGGAAAAAGGAUCCGUCAAAUUUUGAGGAAGUAUGUUUGAUGAGAAUGACAAUGAAAAAAGAUUUUCCAAUAACGGCAGAUCAUUUUCUGCCUUACUAUUCUUUUAUAUCGUUUUUAUAUGCUAGAGGGUCUGGUUCCAUUAUUAGCACCUAAAAUAUAUACCAAAUAGCGGUCAAAGCCUUAUUGUUCCAAAAUUGCCCCAUGAAGACUAUUUUGAAGACAUAAACAUUUUUACAAAGUUUAAAGAGUUGACUCCCAAACAACUCAUAAGUCUUUAUAAAGAAUUAGCUGCCCA